CCAAUAGCGUAUAUUAAAGUUGUUGCAGUUAAAAAGCUCGUAGUUGAAUUUCGGGACCAAUUUGUUGGUCGUGCCUCGGUACGUACUGGUAUUCUUGGUUUCUCCCUUCUGAAGAACCUCGAUGUCAUUAAUUUGGUGUCGUGGGGAAUCAGGACUGUUACUUUGAAAAAAUUAGAGUGUUUAAAGCAGGCAUACGCUUGAAUACAUUAGCAUGGAAUAAUGAAAUAGGACGUUUGAUUCUAUUUUGUUGGUUUCUAGGAUCGACGUAAUGAUUAAUAGGGAUAGUUGGGGGCAUUAGUAUUCAAUUGUCAGAGGUGAAAUUCUUGGAUUUAUUGAAGACUAACUACUGCGAAAGCAUUUGCCAAGGAUGUUUUCAUUAAUCAAGAACGAAAGUUAGGGGAUCGAAGACGAUCAGAUACCGUCGUAGUCUUAACCAUAAACUAUGCCGACUAGGGAUCGGAUGAUGUUAAUUUUUUAAUGACUCAUUCGGCGCCUUACG
rnacentral:rRNA from 1 species